GCGUGGCCUAUCGAUCCUUUAG
rnacentral:snRNA from 1 species